AGGUUCCCGGUAGCUUGGCUUUGUUAGUUGAGCCUAAGUUUGCCGUUGUUUUUGGAUGGUUAAGCGAAUGAGGUUUUGAUUAGAGCGAA